UCGGUUCCGGUUCACGUUCGGCGCAAAGGCCCGAGCGACCCGGCGACC
rnacentral:ncRNA from 1 species